ACAGCAUUAGGUUUAUAAGAGUGCAGAUUUGUUUUUAAUGUUAGCUGAGAAAAGGCAGAAAUAGGAACAUUUAAAUUGCCCCAUUUCGUUUCAGUUUUAACUAACUAAUGUAAAACUUAAUAUACAGUUGUAUGAACACCAUUUCAUCUUACAAAACUAUGUGUAAGACGUUUCCAAUGUUAAGUUUUGCGGAAAGCACAUGGUCACACAGCGGCCGAUUCAUAGCAUGAUUUCAAUGUACCAAUUAUUGUUAUGUGGUGGUAACGUAAUAUAAAGAUAUAAUUUUUGGGAUCCAAUGUGCGUUUUGGCUGGCGCCUGUUAUCGGGGCGUGUUGGCGUGGCACAGGCCGCAAAUAGUUGGCACCUCGCGUCUUCAUUGAAUUCUCAAUUUUAAAUGUAUAUUUAUAUUUAUGCUUGCUUGCAGUUCCCUGGCUUUUUCUCGCCCUCCAACAUUUCCCGCUCUGUUUUCCCACCGUGUGUAGUGUAAUCGUAUUGGAUGGGAUAUGCAGUGGAUAUGCGUUAUGUUUGCAUUUCUCGUGUGUGUUGCAUAUAUUUUUGUCACCACGACGGCAUCUCAGGAAUGCGGAGCACCAGAAAUAAACCAAGUGCAAAAACCUUUA